AAGGCACUCCCACACGAACUUCCUGUGUGCAAAUAGCCCCCUCUCCCUCUUUCCGUUCCUGGAAAAGUGAACUUGCAGCAGUUGAAGUCGGCGAGUCUCAGUGAGAUGACUCUGAAUUGGGAUUUGGGAACUGGACCACAGCUUUCAUGGAUGUGACUAUAGAUGAUAGCACCCUUCUUGAUAGUUUUCUCCUCAGAAGUUUCAUGUCAAUGUGUGACAAAGAGCUGCCACAACCCUGACAAGAUGGAGGAGGUAUAUGGUGAUUUCACCUCAGAAAUGAAGGGGUACAGAGCCCCUGCUGGUAAAAAGCACUAAUUCAUCAGCCCUUAGCCUCACUCACCAGGACGUCCCCUCUCCCUGCCACAGAGCAUGGACGCACAGAAGCUGAGUCCUAUCAACCGGUUUACUGCUUGAUUGCCUCAACUGCUUUCAACCUGCAUGAAGAGGUCAGGCAGCAAGUAAAACAGAGACCUCUGACCCCCAGGGAGGGAAUGCCAUCUCAGCACAUGUCAUGCUGGCACCAUGUUUGUCCAGUUCUGCCAUCCUCACAGCUUCCUGCCUCUUCUCUUUUUCUUUUUCCUUAGUUCCACCACACUCAUACAAACGCAUAAAGUUGGCUUCUUUGUCACAACUUGAACAACAAUGCGUGCUUGUUCAUUUAUUUAUUAUGUAUUGGCCAUCUUGCAAACUGGAAGAAAGUGGGUAAGCGUAAAAGCUUAGAUGUUGGAGCUACUGUAUUUGAAUCCAGAGUACAGUCAGAUGACAAUACAUGGUUGUCUGAUCUUAAAUCAACUCACUUCUGUGAGCUACAGUCCCUGCGUCACUCACACCAGCUAUCACUGGGCCAUGACAAAGGAGGAGACAAAGAAUGUUCCUGAAGCACCUAUGGGAGGAGAUUAUCACAUUUCUUAUUUCUUACGGUGUGCAGGCCGGUUCCAGUGAAAGAUAACCACACAGGAACAGCAAGAAGUCACGGUCUGAUUUGCUGGUGUAAAGAUGGUUGUAGCCGGUCCAGUUUUGAUCUGGAAGGACCACCCCCAUUGUGGCUUCGGUAACUUUCAUGCCUACAAGGCGGGGCCCAGAGAGGACCCUUGAAGACCCAAGAUCCGGAUGGGCUGGCUCUCUUGGUUCCUGGACCCUGGAAGCUGGAGAUAGACCAAGGAGAGUUCUCCAGAGAACACCGCCGGACUGCGCUACACCUUUCCCAGACCCUGUAACCUAUCCCUUCACUUGUAAGUUAUCCC